CGUACACUCCUGCGGGAGGCAACAGUGGGGAAUAUUGGACAAUGGGCGCAAGCCUGAUCCAGCCAUGCCGCGUGAGUGAUGAAGGCCCUAGGGUUGUAAAGCUCUUUCACCGGUGAAGAUAAUGACGGUAACCGGAGAAGAAGCCCCGGCUAACUUCGUGCCAGCAGCCGCGGUAAUACGAAGGGGGCUAGCGUUGUUCGGAUUUACUGGGCGUAAAGCGCACGUAGGCGGACUAUUAAGUCAGGGGUGAAAUCCCGGGGCUCAACCCCGGAACUGCCUUUGAGACUGGUAGUCUUGAGUUCGAGAGAGGUGAGUGGAAUUCCGAGUGUAGAGGUGAAAUUCGUAGAUAUUCGGAGGAACACCAGUGGCGAAGGCGGCUCACUGGCUCGAUACUGACGCUGAGGUGCGAAAGCGUGGGGAGCAAACAGGAUUAGAAACCCUGGUAGUCCCA
rnacentral:rRNA from 1 species